rfam:Medicago truncatula strain A17 unplaced genomic scaffold scaffold0080, whole genome shotgun sequence.
AAGAAGUGUAACAUUCCGUUUAAGGUGUUUUACUCUGAUUAAUUUAUGAAAUUUUUAUGUUGGGAAAACGGGGUGUUACACUUCU